CACAAUCAUGGUCAGGGAUGAGUUGGACCACAGAGUGAAGGAAAAAGCAACCAAGAGUGUGCAAAGCUGUCAUCAAGGCAAAGAAUGGCUUGUUUGGUGUCUGCUGUGAAGGAAUACUACAACAAGUAAACUACUUGAUUGAUGAAGGCAUGUCAUCGACUACAUGCACCAUUUCUUCACUAACUACUGAUUUGGGGAAACACGUGUGGACCUGAAUUGUGAUAAUUGCAGUGGCCAAAACAAGAACAAGUUUGUGCUCUAGUAUAGUGCCUGGCGUACCAUGCACAAGCUCCACCACAGUCUGGACCUUCACUUCCUGAUCAUAGGCAACACCAAGUUUGCCCCCGACUUGCUUCGGCCUCAUCAAGCAACGCUUUCGAAAGACCAGAGUGAACACUUUGUCUGAGAUUGCUGGUGUUGUGAAGGACAGCACUGUGAUGGGUCAACAUCCCAUAGCUGGUUGGACUGGAGGAUGAUACGGUGCUGGUGGAAAGCUAUGGCUGGCAACAACACCUGACUCCGUACUUCAGGCCUCUUUCACAGAUCAAGCAGUGCCAGCACUUCAGGUGAAAAUCAUUUUCAUUGCAUUGUAUGAGGCUAUUCCUCUUAUAUAAACUUGGGAGGUGAAUUGAUGUUGUGCAAGGUUGUAAUGUCUUCUGAUUUGUUGUUGUUGUUAUUCCCUGUUUUACAGCUUCUAUGUUCUGGAGCCUGGUGUUGAUGUUGCCAAGGAGCGUUCGGACUCAGUUGGGACCAGGUUGCAGCUGGAGGGGUGGAUUGUGGAUUUUGCUCAAUGGGAAAGUUUAUUAAAUAAACUACACUUUCCGAUUGAGCAAAAUCCACCGUCCACGCCUCUAAAGAUAACCUGGCUCUUUUCUACAAAAUUCGACCAGGUCCACGUUUGAAUACAUGGCUGAAGAGAUGCAUUUUGGUUUAGCCAGCCAUCUACACACACAGACAAACAUACAGUUUCAACCCCAGCCACAGGGCUGUAUACAGAAACAUUGACCUCCAUCGUGACCAAAACUAUUAUUUUCCCAUAAGCUUGUUCUAUCUACAGUAUGACAGCACCAGCAGUUAGCUACCAACAGUUGAUAGACAUGUUAAAUUGGCUACUUUCGCAUUAAUCAGUGAUAUUUAGAUGGAAGAUGUUAGCUAAAUGCGGUAGCUCCAUAGCUAGCUAACAUUAACAUAGAGGUAUUAAGCUGGCCCUUUCACUUCCCGAUGAAGCCCUGAUCAUGCUCUGUUUCAGCUGCUGGCUGUUUGUGAUACUUUAUAAGCCAAAUUGUUGGUAGGGACAGCAUCCAUUUUGAAAAGCAAGAUUUUUCUAAAGCCCUUCCAUUGUUGAUAACCAUUGAAGUUCUCAAGGAUGAAAUGUGCCCCACAGAUUGACGGGUAGUUGCCCAAUUCGCCCGCCUCAUUCUCACAAAUGCGUCCACUUUUAUGAAGUGUUUCAUUUGCAUGGCCAUAGAGGCAUACUGAUCACGCUCUCUGCAGCCGAUGGGUGUAAGACCUUUAAACAGGUCAACAUUCACAAGGUCGCAGGGCCAGAGGGAUUACCAGGACGUGUGCUGCGAGCAUGCGCUGACCAACUGACAAGUGUUUUCACUGACAUUUUCAACCUCUCCAUGUCUGAGUCUGUAAUGCCAACAUGUUUUAAGAAGACCACUGUCAUAACUCUCCUGUGAUGAUCUGAAGGAUCAGGUUACAGUGGGUUCAC
ensembl:lncRNA